GUGAAAGCCCACGGCUCAACCGUGGAGGGUCAUUGGAAACUGGAAAACUUGAGUGCAGAAGAGGAAAGUGGAAUUCCAUGUGUAGCGGUGAAAUGCGCAGAGAUAUGGAGGAACACCAGUGGCGAAGGCGACUUUCUGGUCUGUAACUGACGCUGAUGUGCGAAAGCGUGGGGAUCAAACAGGAUUAGAUACC
rnacentral:rRNA from 1 species